CUUGUCGGCUUUCAACUCGUUGAUGGCUUUGAAAUAUUUUAACCUAUCUGUCUCGCUCAGUACUCUAAUUUCUCGCCUUUUUCUAAGUGGAUGUGAACGAUCUUGUAUUGCCUCUUUCCAUAGAGAUGUCAGCCAGUCUUGUUGUUUUUGAGAUAAUGUACAAUGAUAUUCAUUUGCAAGAGUUUCAUUGCAAGAAGGGAAAUGAAAUUCAGGCUCGUCUUUAUAUUUACACUUUGGAUCGUGUCCCUCGAGGGUUAGUUCUGAACGGACUAAUACGUUAAGUAAGAUAAAAAUCACAGAAGAUAAAACUAAUAUCAUUCUGACAGGUUUCA
rnacentral:lncRNA from 1 species